CUACGGGUUGCUCCAGUUUCGAAUCAUUCACAAUGGGCGAAAGCCUGAUGGUGCGACGCCGCGUGGGGGAUGAAGGUCUUCGGAUUGUAAACCCCUGUCAUUAAGGAGCAAAACCUAGGUUCAUAGCCUAGCUUGAGUUAACUUAAAGAGGAAGCAGUGGCUAACUCCGUGCCAGCAGCCGCGGUAAUACGGAGACUGCGAGCGUUACUCGGAUUCACUGGGCGUAAAGGGUGCGUAGGCGGUUAAAUGUGUCAGGUGUGAAAUCCCGAAGCUCAACUUCGGAACUGCGCCUGAAACUAUUUAACUAGAGAUUCGGAGAGGUAAACGGAAUUCCAGGUGUAGCGGUGAAAUGCGUAGAUAUCUGGAGGAACUCUAAAGGCGAAGGCAGUUUACUGGACGAAUUCUGACGCUGAGGCACGAAAGCGUGGGGAGCAAAAGGGAUUAGAUACCCUAGUAGUC
rnacentral:rRNA from 1 species